AUUGAACGCUGGCGGCAGGCCUAACACAUGCAAGUCGAACGAGUGGCGGACGGGUGAGUAAUGUCUGGGAAACUGCCUGAUGGAGGUGGAUAACUACUGGAAACGGUAGCUAAUAACGCAUACCAUCGGAUGUGCCCAGAUGGGAUUAGAUAGUAGGUGGGGUAAAGGCUCACCUAGCCGACGAGCUCUAGCUGGUCUGAGAGGCUGACAAGCCACACAGGAACGGAAACACGAUCCAGACUGCUACGCGAGGCGACAGUGGAGAAUAUUGCACCAUGGGCGCAAGCCUGAUGCAGCCAUGCCGCGUGUAUGAAGAGGGCCUUCGGGUUGUAACGUACUUUCAGCGGGGAGGCGUUACCCGCAGAAGAAGCACCGGCUAACUCCGUGCCAGCCGCCGCGGUAAUAC
rnacentral:rRNA from 1 species